GUCAGAAUAGUUUAAAAGGUAAAACAUAUAUCUCAUACGUAUAAAAAGAAAGUUCAAUUCUUUCUUCUGACU
rnacentral:tRNA from 1 species